GACGAACGCUGGCGGCGUGCCUAAUACAUGCAAAUCGAACGAAGCCUUUUGGCUUAGUGGUGAACGGGUGAGUAACACGUAUCCAAUCUACCCUUAAGUUUGGGAUAACUAGUCGAAAGAUUAGCUAAUACCGGAUAAUAACAUUCACUUGCAUGAGUGAAUGUGGAAAGUUGCGUUUGCAACGCUUUUGGAUGAGGGUGCGACGUAUCAGAUAGUUGGUGAGGUAACGGCUCACCAAGUCAUUGACGCGUAGCUGUACUGAGAGGUAGAACAGCCACAAUGGGACUGAGACACGGCCCAU
rnacentral:rRNA from 1 species